rnacentral:rRNA from 1 species
GACGAACGCUGGCGGCGUGCCUAACACAUGCAAGUCGAGCGGGGUUGAGGCGAGAGGUAACUCGAGCUUCUACCUAGCGGCGGACGGGCGAGUAACGCGUGAGUAACCUGCCCUUCAGUGGGGAAUAACGGUUGGAAACGACCGCUAAUACCGCAUAACGUACAACGACGGCAUCGUCGAUGUACCAAAGGAGCAAUCCGCUGAAGGAUGGACUCGCGUCCGAUUAGCUAGUUGAUGAGGUAAUGGCUCACCAAGGCGACGAUCGGUAGCCGAACUGAGAGGUUGAUCGGCCGCAUUGGGACUGAGACACGGCCCAGACUCCUACGGGAGGCAGCAGUGGGGGAUAUUGCACAAUGGAGGAAACUCUGAUGCAGCAACGCCGCGUGAGGGAAGAAGGUCUUCGGAUUGUAAACCUUAGUAGUCAGGGAAGAAAGAAAUGACGGUACCUGAAGAGUAAGCUCCGGCUAACUACGUGCCAGCAGCCGCGGUAAGCUCGUCU